rnacentral:ncRNA from 2 species
AAUAUAUAAUAAAACUACCUCGAUAUAAUCUCGAUAAUAUGGUUCGGGAGUUUCUAACGAGAUACCGUGAAUUUCUCGACUAUGGAGGCAGAUUUACUCUUU